rnacentral:rRNA from 1 species
GACGGAGGAUGCAAGUGUUAUCCGGAAUCACUGGGCGUAAAGCGUCUGUAGGUGGUUUAAAAAGUCCACUGUUAAAAAUUGAAGCUUAACUUCAAAGAUGCCGUGGAAACUUUUAAACUUGAGUAUGGUAGGGGUAGAGGGAAUUUCCAGUGGAGCGGUGAAAUGCGUAGAUAUUGGAAAGACCACCAAUGGCGAAGGCACUCUACUGGGCCAUUACUGACACUGAGAGACAAAAGCUAGGGGAGCAAAUGGG